rnacentral:rRNA from 1 species
GAUUAUUAAUUAAAAUAUAAAUAUACAUUCACGAAUAGAUGCGAGCUAAAUAUGUGCUCUGUUGGUGUUAUCAAUUACGUGAUAUAGUAAUAAAAUACACAUAUUUAGGAGUGAUAGGCCUUCAAGUAUUUUGAUAACUUGUUAUGUAAUAAAUGUAUUAAGUACUAAGACACACUGUAAAAGUUAAGCUUGACAGUUUAUAUUAAUUCAGUUUCUUUAUUUAAUUUAGUUUAAACACUUAAUUAUUAAUAUAAUUAACAUUAAGAAUGUGUUUUUAUAUUUAGUAUUACAUAAAACUACUAUUUUAAAAUUAUAUUUUGUAAUUAUAAGUAAUAUAAUAUAAGUAUUCUGUUAGAACUCGGCAAAAGGUUAAUCAACUGUUUAUCAAAAACAUAACUAGGUGGAUAUUAUACUUAGCUAUUUCUGCUCCAUGGGAUACCUAAAUAGCCGCAGUACUCUGACUGUGCAAAGGUAGCAUAAUCAUUUGGCUUUUAAUUAAGGUCUUGUAUGAACGAAACUAUGGUUAACUGCUGUCUAGGUGUAUACUGUGAAAUUGGUAAGUAGGUGCAAAUACCUACAAAAAUACAAAAGACGAGAAGACCCUAGAAACUUUUAUAUUAUUUUUGUUGGGGCGACAGAAUAACAGCGAACUUAUUUUAGCUAACUAGCCGCGUAGCUGAUAGAUAAAGUUACUCUAGGGAUAACAGCAUAAUUUUAAUCGUUUGUGACCUCGAUGUUGGACUAGGUAAGACCUUCUCUAGAAGAGAUAGUCUCUGCUCUGUUCGAGCAAAUAUACCUACAUGAUCUGAGUUCAGACCGG